UAGCACAAUUUAGUGACUUGGUGUCUGGCUCGUGACUUCCAAGACUCAUUCUUGUGCAAGAUCAAAUCCCAGUUUGCAGAAGGGCUGAGCCUCUACUUGUAGCUUCUCCCUUUCGAAGGCUGGGGACAUUC